rnacentral:rRNA from 1 species
AGCGAACGCUGGCGGCAGGCUUAACACAUGCAAGUCGAGCGCCCCGCAAGGGGAGCGGCAGACGGGAGAGUAACACGUGGGAACAUACCUUUUGGUUCGGAACAACUGAGGGAAACUUCAGCUAAUACCGGAUAAGCCCUUACGGGGAAAGAUUUAUCGCCGAAAGAUUGGCCCGCGUCUGAUUAGCUAGUUGGUGAGGUAACGGCUCACCAAGGCGACGAUCAGUAGCUGGUCUGAGAGGAUGAUCAGCCUCACUGGGACUGAGACACGGCCCAGACUCCUACGGGAGGCAGCAGUGGGGAAUAUUGGACAAUGGGGGCAACCAUGAUCCAGCCAUGCCGCGUGAGUGAUGAAGGCCUUAGGGUUGUAAAGCUCUUUUGCCCGGGAAGAUAAUGACGGUACCGGGAGAAUAAGCCCCGGCUAACUUCGUG